rnacentral:rRNA from 1 species
AUUGAACGCUGGCGGCAGGCCUAACACAUGCAAGUCGAACGGUAACAGGAAACAGCUUGCUGUUUCGCUGACGAGUGGCGGACGGGUGAGUAAUGUCUGGGAAACUGCCUGAUGGAGGGGGAUAACUACUGGAAACGGUAGCUAAUACCGCAUAACGUCGCAAGACCAAAGAGGGGGACCUUCGGGCCUCUUGCCUUCGGCUGUGCCCAGAUGGGAUUAGCUAGUAGGUGGGGUAACGGCUCACCUAGGCGACGAUCCCUAGCUGGUCUGAGAGGAUGACCAGCCACACUGGAACUGAGACACGGUCCAGACUCCUACGGGAGGCAGCAGUGGGGAAUAUUGCACAAUGGGCGCAAGCCUGAUGCAGCCAUGCCGCGUGUAUGAAGAAGGCCUUCGGGUUGUAAAGUACUUUCAGCGGGGAGGAAGGGAGUAAAGUUAAUACCUGUGCUCAUUGACGUUACCCGCAGAAGAAGCACCGGCUAACUCCGUG